rnacentral:tmRNA from 1 species
GGGUUAGUCAAGGUUUCGACAGGGGUCUUGCAGCUGGAGAAGCUAUCCGCAGGCGAUGCGUCAAAUCGCAAACCUAAAUAUAAACGCUGAUAAUGAAUUAGCAUUAGCUGCCUAAGUGCAGCUUGUCUGACCUGAUGUACCUGCACGUCAGGAUCCAGGCAUCGACUCAGCAGGAAACGACAUAUAUUAAGCUUUGCGUAUAUGGGCGUAUGAUGAAGCUACUGAAGCUAUAAGGGUGUCAGCUCUCGUAUGGCGGAGGGAAUGUCAAAUAACUGACUAUGAUAGUAGAAGGACAGGGAAUGGGCUUUUGGACGCGGGUUCGACUCCCGCCUAAUCCACUU